rnacentral:lncRNA from 1 species
AGGUAACUGUGUCCUCCCAGAAACCUAUGGAGAGCUGAAGGGGUUUUAGGAUUGUGGAAUCCACCCUCCUCCUUUGGUAAAAGAGGACAAAGGCCAGAGAGCAGUGUGCUGGCUGAGGCAUGCGACUGUAAACCAAAAGCUCAGUUUCCAUUUGGAAUGGCUUCCGGAAGGCUGGAAUUGAAAUCCACCAGUGCCCAUUUCAAGGUGCUCCCAACACAGCCUGGAAAAAAGGAGCCCAGAUACGCUUCCCUGUGGACGCAGGUCAGUCAUCAGGAUGCACAGAAACAGCGUUGCCCUCGGCCUGGAGCCAUUGUCCUGAAAGGGGAUCCUUCCCAACUGGGGCCUGAGACUGAUCCCUGAGAAGUGGCCCCUCCAUCCUGGAACCCCUCCUGCUUGUGUCUCCUUACUUCCUGGUGAUCACCGCAUUCAGGCUCAGAAUGCCGCAGGCCUAUCCCACUGGAAGCUGCCAAGGUGCCCAGCGCCCUGUUGCACUCUUGUCCCACAGGACGCCAGGCACAGCAGCAGCAUCAAGGGACCAGCAGGGAAGAGGCUGCAGUGAUUUGGGGAAACAGUGUGAAAAUCACCUGGGGCCUGGCGACACGGGGUCCCGCCUCCUCCCCCAUAUUAGGUCCCAGAGAAAAUGACAAUAUGAACAGCUCAUGUCACCAUUAUUAGGCAGAGUCUUUAUUCUUUCCUUAACCUUUGCCAUUAAAUUGAGCUCUAUAGGCCCAUUUUCUGCUUUUAAUGCCAAUAAAUGAAAUUCCAG